rnacentral:RNase_P_RNA from 1 species
CAGGUUGGCCGGGUGAUUGCGGUCCUAAGCGCACGCGAAGGGAUCGAGGAAAGUCCGCACUCCCCAGAGCGCGAUGCCGGAUAACGUCCGGGGCGGAGCAAUUCGCCGGAUUGGGCCACAGAAAAUAACAGCCUCCCCUUUAGGGGGGAGGUGAUGGUGAAAAGGCGGUGUAAGAGACCACCGGCGCGGAUGGCAACAUUCGCGGCCAGGCAACCCCCAUCGGGAGCAAGGCCAAGCAGGAAUGAACGCCUUCGGGCGGGGAAAUUGCUCGUUUCCCUAGAAUUCCAGGUAGGCCGCACCGAGGUGGGCAGAGAUGCUCAUCCCAGACAGAUAAUCACCUCCAUUAACAUCAGGGAGGACGUGCCUUCGGGCGUGUAAACCUGAUCAUAAAUGAGACAGAAUGCGGCUUAUAGGCCAGCCUGGGGA